UAGAGUAGCAUAACCUGAUGACAAAGGUGGUUAAGUGAUAAGAGCCAUAGAAGGGUUCAAGACCCUGUUCCUAUCACUGGAGUAUUGAUUUGAGAUUUAAACUAAAAAUAGGAGAGACGUUUCAAUAGAGAACAAGGAGUACUCAUAAUAAGUAAUUUUUGCUUUUUCCCCUGCCUCUGCCAACUUGCGCGGAGGCGGAAGCUUGGGUGCGUUCAAGAUUCGGCAUCACCCGUAAUCCCCCCGCCAUGGCCGAGGAAGGCAUAGAUGCUGGAGGUGUAAUGGACGUCGACACUGCUCUACAAGAGGUGCUGAAGACUGCCCUCAUCCACGAUGGCCUAGCACGUGGCAUACGCGUGAUGAGCCUAUAGAUUUCAAGCUGGUGGAGGCACUUUGUGCUGAGCACCAAAUUAACCUGAUAAAAGUUGAUGACAUCAAGAAACUAGGGAAACGGGUAGACCUCUGAAAAAUCGAUCGAGCAGGGAAACCAAGGAAGGUGGUUGGUUGCAGUUGCAUAGUGGUCAAGGACUAUGGCAACAAAAAAAAAUUUCAGGCCAAGGAUGUCAUCGAAGAAUACUUCAAAUGCAAUAAAUAAAUAAAUUUUGGCUCGUUAAAAAAAAAGAAGUAAUUUUCUUCAAGGUGUAGUCUGAUUAAUUAUUGUGUCAUGUGGUACUACAAAAUAGCCCAGAGAAACUCUCAUUUUGACUG